rnacentral:rRNA from 1 species
GAUGAACGCUGGCGGCGUGCCUAAUACAUGCAAGUCGAGCGAACGGACGAGAAGCUUGCUUCUCUGAUGUUAGCGGCGGACGGGUGAGUAACACGUGGAUAACCUACCUAUAAGACUUGGAUAACUUCGGGAAACCGGAGCUACUACCGGAUAAUAUUUUGAACCGCAUGGUUCAAAAGUGAAAGACGGUCUUGCUGUCACUUAUAGAUGGAUCCGCGCUGCAUUAGCUAGUUGGUAAGGUAACGGCUUACCAAGGCAACGAUGCAUAGCCGACCUGAGAGGGUGAUCGGCCACACUGGAACUGAGACACGGUCCAGACUCCUACGGGAGGCAGCAGUAGGGAAUAUUCCGCAAUGGGCGAAAGCCUGACGGAGCAACGCCGCGUGAGUGAUGAAGGUCUUCGGAUCGUAAAACUCUGUUAUUAGGGAAGAAAAUAUGUGUAAGUAACUGUGCACAUCUUGACGGUACCUAAUCAGAAAGCCACGGCUAACUACGUG